AUGAGUUAAGUAUAAACCCCUUUACAAGUAACAAUUGGAGGGCAAGUCUGGUGCCAGCAGCCGCGGUAAUUCCAGCUCCAAUAGCGUAUAUUAAAGUUGUUGCAGUUAAAAAGCUCGUAGUUGGAUUUCUGUUAAUAAUUUAUAUUAGUAUACAUUUUUGUAUUUAAUAUGAUAUUAACAUAAUUCAUAUUACUAAUUUUAGUAUAUGAAAUUUUACUUUGAGAAAAUUAGAGUGCUUAAAGCAGGCAAUUGCCUUGUAUACUACAGCAUGGAAUAAUAAUAAAAGAUUUUUAUCUUUUUUUUUUUAUUGGUUCUAAGAUAAAAAUAAUGAUUAAUAGGGACAGUUGGGGGCAUUUGUAUUUAACAGUUAGAGGUGAAAUUCUUAGAUUUGUUAAAGACAAACUAAUGCGAAAGCAUUUGCCAAGGAUGUUUUCAUUAAUCAAGAACGAAAGUUAGGGGAUCGAAGACGAUCAGAUACCGUCGUAGU
rnacentral:rRNA from 1 species